UAUAGUUUUCAAAUAUGUUUAUUCGUGCAAUGGUAAGAAUAUUUUCACGAGGUUGAAGAUGGAAUGUUCCAUUCAAUGAGGCGACUGGAACAUUCCAUCUUUCACCGAAUGAAAUAUUCUUACCAUUGCACGAAUAAACAUUCAUUAUUUGUUUUAUA